rnacentral:rRNA from 1 species
GUUAGAUUAGGUAGUUGGUGGGGUAACGGCCUACCAAGCCUACGAUCAGUAGCUGGUCUGAGAGGAUGAUCAGCCACACUGGGACUGAGACACGGCCCAGACUCCUACGGGAGGCAGCAGUGGGGAAUAUUGGACAAUGGGGGCAACCCUGAUCCAGCAAUACCAUGUGUGUGAAGAAGGCCUUAGGGUUGUAAAGCACUUUAGUCGCUGAGGAAGGCUAUUAGGUUAAGAGCUAGAUAGUUUGACGUUAGGCGAAGAAUAAGCACCGGCUAACUCCGUGCCAGCAGCCGCGGUAAUACGGAGGGUGCGAGCGUUAAUCGGAAUUACUGGGCGUAAAGGGUUCGUAGGUGGAUAAAUAAGUCAGAUGUGACAUCCCUGGGCUCAAACUAGGAAUUGCAUUUGAUACUGUUUAUCUAGAGUUCACUAGAGGAUUGGGGAAUUUCCGGUGUAGCGGUGAAAAUGCGUACAGAUCGGCAGGAACAUCCUUGGCGAGAGCAACAAUCCGGGGUUGUACUGACCCUGAGGGACGAAAGCGUGGGUAGCCAACAAGAUUAGA